GACUUUUGAAACUAGAGGAAGAUAAGGAGGACUUUUACAAAAAUGUAAUGGAGAUUGUUGUCCAGAAGGAUAGCAUGGACUUCAUCUUCAAGUCAAGUCAGCAGGAAAAGCCGUCUCUGAGUCAUGGCAAUCUUUCCCACCCCGCGGCUCGUCUUCACAGAGGAGGAAAGCUUGAAAACACACUCGCUGGGCUCGAUGUGCUCAGAGACUGACGCUGGCAAACACACCUGAAAUAUCACAUAAAAAGAGCUGAUUUACAGUUCAGCUAACAUAUUGCAAUGUGGAACACCAGAGACCACUUUGGAUAUAAUUAGUGGACUUUGUUGUGUUAUUCCUGACAAUGUCAUGUUUGUGACAUGUUUCCUACUUCGCAAAAAUGUGCAGCUUACUGUUUUAUGGUAAAAUAAACUCAAAGUUUCAGCUGACACACACAUGCAGCAUAUUUAAAAUGUGGGUUUUUUUGUUAUAUGUUCCAGAUAAAUCCUACAUACAGACCUCCUGUGCUUCUGCCUCCGUCUCCUUCCAGAUGGUGUAGAAGACUCUGAACAACUCUGGCCCAACCUGCUUCUGAUGACCUGCAACAAAUUAACACACAGAUGACAAUAAUUAAAAAAUAUAACAAGAAAUGUACCCUGAAAUAGUUGACUGAGCAUUUAUAGACAGCUCAGCUUCAGGGAGGAAGUGUGGGUAGAAAAAAUGUAACACCUUAAAAUAAGAGUAUACCUUUGCACACGAAUAAAAGGAAUAAAGAGGCAAACCAAAACUAUUUUUGGUGAAUAACAUAUAUUCAUUUUGGGAAAGUAUGCAAGUUACAAUUAAAGGUAUUCCUAGAUAUGCAAUACCCAAUAAAUGCAUAAUAUGUACGUUGGAAAUAUAAAUGAUUAUCACUUAUACAAAUAGAUAUUGAACCAUGAUAAUAUUGGUCACAGGUGAGAAAUCCAUAAUAAGAAAUUGGUACAACAUUUCAUUCCCUAUUCAAGAUUAAUUGAAGAAAUUAUAAAAUAAAUUCUAAUUACCGAAAAAAUUACUUUUCAGCUUAGAGUGACAAAACGUUUUUUUCUGUAAGUGAAUAUAUGGAUCAUUUUGAACAGUGGGAAAUACUGCACAAAUAGAAUAACAUACAGUAUAUAUAAAAUGUAAGAUCCUGGAUAUGUAUAUGCCAUUCUUAGAAAAUGGACACUUGUACAUACAUUUCUGAUUGUAAACAAGUGAUAAUACAUCUACCACAUUCUGGCUGUAGGCCAGCAUAAAUUAAAUUAAUAUUAAAGUUUUAACAAAAGAA